rfam:Entamoeba invadens IP1 unplaced genomic scaffold scaff_1105074725615, whole genome shotgun sequence.
GUGGAGGUAGUUUAGUUGGUAAAACGUUUUAUUUAACAAUAAUCUUUUAGAUUUAUGUUAUAAGUGAAAAUACAAAAAGUUGUGGGUUCAACUCCCACCUUCCACG